CUAUUCAAGAUGGAGACGCCCUGGUUCAGACGCCUCUGACAGAUGCUCCAAGAUGAUGUGAAGCAAAUUUCACGACUAACGAUGGCCCGAAGGCUCCUUCCCUCCACGGGAUUCUGCUCCAGCCACAGCAGAGACUAUUUUGCACACCUUCCAGACAUUGCUGCCCCAUUCCAGAUACAAGUGCCCUUCUUGUCUCAUGGACUCAAUCAGGAGAUAUGAAGAUUGACAACUGAUUGGCAAAAGUGAAGUCACUGUGUGACCUGUCCUGAAAAGAUGGUGGCUGCAUCUAGAAACAGUGACGUGUUUGGGGAACAAUGGAGUAGAGUCAGAGACGCACCUACUAAGACAUUUUGGCUGCUGGGCACCUGAACAUGAGCAAUGUGAAGCUUCCGGUGCGUGUUUCCAUAGAGAGUUUUCUGAUAAUGUGUCAGUUAUUUUUAGCCACAAAACACUAUAAGACAAC
ensembl:lncRNA novel transcript